AUCCACGCUUCUUAGGCAUGUUCAAAAUGGAGGGCAUUCAAGAAAAAGGGAGCACACGACCCAAGCAAAGCUAAAACACUCAUGGAAAUGUAAAGUUCAUGCUUAGCUGUGUUCAGAAUGGAGGACGUUCAAGGAAAGUGGAGGACAUGGCCAGAGAAAACUUAUGGAAAUGUAAAAUUCAUGCUGCUUAGCCAUGCUGAGAAUGGAGGGCAUUGGAGGACAAUGGAGGACAUGGCUCAAUAAAAGCUAAAAACCGAUCAUUCUUCCUAUCAACACCAGAAGGAGUGACCUGCCUUUUAAGGAGAAACAUCGAGUGGGAAAAUAAAUCUGCUUUAUUGCUCUGCGUUAAAGAAGGAAAGAAAGAUCUUACAACAUUGGCUUAAUAUCCUCUCUGAAGGAACUGUCUUUUGGGGGACGUAUUACGAGGAAGCUUCAUUUGACCCCUGCAGAAGGUCAACAACUUAAUUAUCGUACUCAAGACAAAGCUACUCUGUGCACAGGAAAUGAAAGCUAAGUAGAGUCCGUUUGAAAAGAAAGACAUUUCCCUCUCUUGAAAGAAAUGAAACUUGCACAAUCCAAUAUUCUUUUCAUCCUGAGCAGACCUCCUGACUGGAUGUUAACUGAUGUGGAUCCUGCAAAGAAAGGAAAGGCAGGGUCCUUCCUGCCUUGGAAACACAAGAACCGCAGCCGGGUGAAGCUGUUUGGGAGACAAUCCCAUAAAGGACUUCAUACACGGGAGGGCUCAGCAGGCAGUGCCAUUGCGGUGUGUACAAAACUAAUUAAGAGGCCAAACAAACACUCUUGGCAUCUGUCUCUUUCAAAGAGCAACCAUAUCUUAAGGACGUGCUUGUCAACAUUGGUGGAAAGGGGUGCCCUUUGUUACCACAUGCUCUUACGCCAAGAACCAUGGCGAGUGGGAGUGUAGAAAACAACUGGCUUGGAUUCAGGUUUGCAGCAGGCAUUGUUCUUGGAGUCCUUUCUACUUCAGCCUUCCCUUCAUGUUUUGGACUACAGUGCCCACUGCGCUUGUCCAUGGGCCAUACAGGUUAGGGGUGAUAGCAGUUGAAAUCCAAAAUAUUUGGAUAGUACCAGGCAGGGGAAGAGUCUUUUACUUGUUAUGUGAUGAAUAUGGAAAGGAUCUUUUGUUUUAUAGCAUCCAGGUUGCAGGAUAACCUCUUCACAAAAAUGUGUAUGUACCAGUCCUACAAGUGUGUAGGCACCAGCUCAACAUAGAUUGGUUU